UUCAAUCAUGUGAACCAGAGCAGUUCGAAAACGUUUCGAACUAACGGGUGCAAGUCCGGUGAAAGUCCGGCACAGUACCGCCUGCUGUUACUUCGAUGUACUCGAAGGAGUCAGAACCCCGGCUCUGGGCAAAGGUCUCUC
rnacentral:ncRNA from 1 species